UUGGAAACCCUGCUGCUGCACG
rnacentral:misc_RNA from 1 species